rnacentral:lncRNA from 10 species
AUAAGAUGAAUGGAAAAGAAGAAAACCCAGAAAUAGAUGCACACAUAUAUGAUCAAUUAAUAUUCAACAAAGGUGCCAACGUGAUUGUCUUUUCAACAAAUGCUGCUUAACCAGCUGAUAUCCAUAAAGAAAAAAGAGAACCUCCACAUUUAGCUCACACCAUACACAAAAGCUAACUCCACAAAGGAUCUUAAGCCACAAUGUAGGAGCUAAAACUAUAAAACAUCUAGGAAAAAACAGAAGAAAUUCUUUGUGACCUUAGAAAUUAACAAAAAAUUAUUAGGAUACAGAAAAGCAUGGACAAUGAAAGAAAAUAUUAAUGAAAUGGACUUCAUCAAAUUGAAAGCUCUUGUUCUCUGAAAGAUACUGUUAAGACCAUAAAAAGACAAACAAUACACCAGGAACAAAUUAUUUUAAAAACCUAGUGGUUUUUCUUCUUAUGGUUGAGUUGUAAACUAUAGUAGAUACAUAUACAUCUGACAAUGGACUUAUAUUAAGAACGUAUAGAUAUGUUUACAACUCAAUCAUAAGACAAACCACUUGAUUUUUUUUCAAUUUGCAAAAGACUUCAACCAGCUUCACUAGAGAGGAUACACAAAUGGCCCACAAGCACAUGAAGGGAUUCUCAACAUAAUUAGUCAUCAGGAAAAUGCAAAUUAAAAGCACAAUGAUCUAGCAUCGCACACCCACUAGAAUGGCUAAAAUUAAAGAAACAGGCAGUACCAUGUUGGCAAAAAAGUGGAGCAACUGGGGUUGUAAAAUUGUGCUUUGGAAAAUAGUUUGGCGUUUUCUUUAAAAGUGAAACAUACACUUAACAUAUGACCCAGAAAUUCUGCUUCUAUACAUCUACGCAAGAAAAAUGAAAACAUAUGUACUCAAAAGAUUUGUAUAUAAAUGCUCAAGCGGCUUUCUUUAGAAAAAAAUGUGUUAUAUCCAUGUACUAAAAUAUAUCCCCAGAAAUAUAAAGAAAUGAUAUACUGGCACAUGCAAUAACAUAGAUGAGCUGUGAAAAUGUUAUUACUAGUGUUUCAAUCUUUUUUUCAUGAUGCCCCUAAACCAAACAAAAUACAUAAAAGUUCAAUUUAUUAACUCAUUAGGCCCAAACAACAUCAAAAUAGUGGUUCCUAUGGCAUCCAACAGAUCUGUGUUUCCCUCAAAAAUUUAAAACAUCCAUGAUACACCAUGAAUUUGCUGUAGCAUCCCAGAGUACCCUGGCAGAGUCUGAGAACCAUGGGGCUAAAUUAAUCUAGUGACUGACCGAAGAACAAUGGUUGCCUGGAGCUGGGGGAAAGGAAUAUUAGGGAACUUUCUGGGAUGAUGGAAUUUCUCUAAAGUUUGAUUGUGGUGCCAGUUACAUUCUUGCAUACAUUUGUCAAAACUCAUCAAAGUGUUUUGCUAAAAUGGAUGCAUUUUAUUAGAUGUUAGACGUAGAUACCUCAACAAAGUUGACUUAAAGGCCAGCAUUUCGAGAGACUGAGGCAGGAGGAUAGUUUCAGCCCAAAACUUGGAGACCAGCCUGGGCAACAUAGGGAGAACGCCGUCUCUAUCAAAAUAAAAAUAAAAAGGUAGCCAGGCAUGGUGGUGCACACCUGUAGUCCCAGCUACUCAGGAGGCUGAGCUGGGAGGAUCACUUGAGCCCAGGAGUUCAAGGCUGCAGUGAGCUAUGAUUGCACCACUGCACUCCAGCCUUGGCAAAACAGAGAGACCCAGGCCGGACGCGGUGGCCUAAGCCUGUAAUCUCAGGACUUUGGGAGCCUGAGGCGGGUGGAUCACCUGAGGUCAGGAGUUCGAGACCAACCUAACCAACAUGGAGAAACCCCAUCUCUACUAAAAAUACAAAAUUAGCCAGGCAUGGUGGCACAUGCCUGUAAUCCCAGCUACUCAAGAGGCUGAGGCAGGAGAAUCACUUGAACCUGGGUGGCAGGGGUCGUGGAGAGCUGAGAUCGUGCCAUUGCACUCUAUCCUGGGCAACAAGAGUGAAACUCUGUCUCAAGAAAAAAAAAAAAAAGAAUGAGACCCCGUCUCGAAAAAUAAAUAAAAGUAAAUUUAAAAAUAAAAGUAAAUAACACUCAAAGAUAUCUAUUCUGGGUAUGAAAACAUAUCUCAUGUAUGCUCACGUAUCCCCUCACAUACACAGUCAGGCCCACUCCUUUUUCUGCUUGUUCAUAGAAUUGCUGCACUAUAUUUUGUGAUUGGCCCCACUAGCUGACUCUUAGACUUGAUUGUUACCUCCUUCCUUUCCCUGUCUCUUCUCCACCCCUGACAAUUGAAGAUGCUUUCAUCAUUUAUUUCCCCUGUCCCCCACCCCUCCCCAACAUUCAGAUAUGAGGGAAUGCUGUGAAUCCAAGUUGAACAGCAAGAAAGAAGCCACAAGAAUUUCAAAGGCACUUGUAGGCAUGAACCACGAUUACAAAUGAAGGAUGUGGUGUCUGGGUAUACAAUAGCUUGCAUAGAGUACAUGCUUGUUAAGUGUGUGUUCACCUGGGUUUACUGAAUUUGCUGAGACUUGAAGGUUUCUCAGAUACACUAUCAUUAUUAUUGUAAUAACUUGAAACUACCUCCUGUAUAGCCUAUGUGACUACCAUUUAUUAAGCAUCUGCUUUUCUGAUAGACACUACAAUUAGCGCUUUCAGUUUUCUGUCAUGAAAUCACCCCAACUCUGUGAGAUAGAUAUUAUUAUCUUCAUUUACAGAUCAGGAAACUGAGGCUCACAGCUGUUAAGUAAAUGGAUCUGUUGCACAGGUACUAAGUGAAGGUGCUGUGAUUUCUAUUCCCGUCUGUCUACUCAAACAGCUCAUUGUCGUUACUAUGCCUCGCUAGCUAACCACGUGCCUCUGAUCUGAGUGUUAUAAAAGAGUAGAACCUUAUUAUGGGAAUCUGAACCUCAUGAUAUGUCAGACUAAAAUAUAAGGAGUGAUGUAGUUUAUUUAAAAAAAAAAUACAUGCGAGAAAAAGCUGCUGGGAAGAUUCUUUCUCAUAGUUUUUCAUAGUAAACUCUAGGAAAAUGAAAUAUAAGAAUCAUUUCUCUCUACAGUACCAAUAAUCAUCAAAAUUUAUGUUGGGUGAUUUUCCCCCCUUAUUUUCCUCAAGGUUUGUGCUUUAACCUUUAACAAAUGUUUGCAAUAAAUUUUCUCUAGCUAAACAUUGUUUCAUCGUUGGAACAUUUCCUACAAGCAAUAGUUUUGUCUUAUCUUGGGAACUAGAGCUGGAAGGGGCUCAGACAUCUGCAACUUUACCUUCCUUCCUUGCAGCAGUGCUGGGGGCAGAUUUCUCCUAAGGUAGCUGAAAGCAAACAUAAUUUGCCAGCACAAAGUCAGUUUUCUUUGGAGGACCUCCCAGACUAAUCCACGUGAAAAUCAUCACCUCCUUCUAUCAUGAUGGCCUUGGCCCCACUUCCACGACUGUGUCUCUGAGAAGCUGUCCAUUGACUUGUUUAAGCAACUCAUUGAUUGUCUACUGUGUCAGGCACAGCACUGGGGACGUGAAGAUGAGGAGACACAGUCCCCACCCACUACCCCAAACCUGAAGUAUGGAGACAGGUGAUCGGCUCAGGAUUACAGGCAAUGAUGACUAGCUCAUGGACAUCAGGGGUCUCAGGGAACUCACAGAAGCCGAUGCCAAUCCCACCUGAAGAUGUCUGAGAAAGUUCUACACAGGAAGUGACAAUUUGGUUGAUUUUAGAAGGGAACGGACACAUUUUCCAGACAGAAAGAAAAGAUAAAGAAAAUCACACACGGAGCCCAGCAAAUGCGGGGUCAUGAAAUGCAAGAUCCUAUAUGCCACACUGGGGAGUUUCCCUCUAUCCCCUGGUGAACACCUGAGCUUUAGUCUGAAAACAGGGGAUGUCAGUGCCCAAAGACACUUCACAGGAGAAUCUCCCACCUCAGUCCAGAGCUGAUUAGUGAGCACCAUUCACUUCCUACUGGAAAAUCCUAUCCUCCUUAAAGACCCAGCCAUAACCACCUGUUCCAGGCUGAGAGAUGUCUCCUGUCCUGAAUCCAUUUCCACAUGUUGAGUUCAGUGAAAGACAUUCUGUUGACCUGGUAAAAGGCACCACCCUUCCCAGAUCAUCACCUGGCAGCAAAUGUGUGGUUCUGUCUUUUUUGUUUUGUUUUUGUCUUGUUUUGUUUUGUUUACCAUGUCAUUUGCUCCUGGUCACCUGUGACUUGAGAAGCAAAACUAUGCAUACCAAUGCAAAAAGCUGAAGUGAUGUUGGGGGCAGCAUCACCCACUCAAACACACUGGACUGGAUUUUUCUCCAACCAGCCUGGAGACCCAGGAGCACCAAGCAACAGCAUCAGAGAACUGACUUGUCUCAAAGCAAAAUCAGAUGGUUCACAGUCGGCAAGCCUUUUGAUCACAAGUUGCAUCCUUCCCCAUCUUCUAUCUCCAUUUUCACCCUAAAGGGUCUGGUGGCUAAAAGGAGCCCAAUCAAUAACCUCAUCAGGGUGAGAAUGGGACCACAAAAUAAACUUGCACUUGCUAGCAUGUUUUGUUUUCAUUAUUAAGAAUCUGAUCUGUAAUUAGGGAAAUGUAAGUAUAAACCACACUAUAAUUCAAUGUCAUAUCCAUUAGAUAUGAAACAGGAAAAAUCUAAAAGUUUAACAAUACAAAGUGUUGGCAAAGAUAGGGGUAAAGAGGAAUUGCUGAUGUGUAGGUAAAUUAGGACAUGCACUUUAGAAAACACAAUCUAGUGCCAUAGGUGAGUUUCCUGAAACAGACUCUGAGCCAGACCUUGGCAUGUAGAAAGUUGACUGGGGAGGCUGGGCAUGGUGGCUCACGCAUGUAAUCCCAGCACUUUGGGAGGCCAAGGCGGGCAGAUCACCUGAGGUCAGGAGAUCAAGACCAGCCUGGCCAAGAUGGUGAAACCCCGUCUCUACUAAAAAUACAAAAAUUAGCCAGGCAUGGUGGUAGGCACCUGUAAUCCUAGCUACUCAGAAGGCUGAGACAAGAGAAUCACUUGAACCCAGGAGGCGGAGGUUGCAGUGAAUUGAGAUUGUGUCACUGCACUCCAGCCUGGGUGACAGAGCAAGAGUCUGUCUCAAAAAAAAAAAAGAAACUUGAUUGGGAUAUUUUGGGGGAGCAACACCUAUAAGGUGUAAAGAAAGCAAGAGCAGACAGAAUUGUUGAUCUGCAAUGCAGUUACCAGCAGAGAUUUCAGCCAGUCCAGGGGAGUUAUGGAGCUGGAAUGACAUUUCAAGAUUGUUCUAAAUUGAAACAAUAAGGCCAAGCCUUUGUAUUCCUUUCCAUCUCCCCACCAUGGCCUACAGGCUGUACCCAACAAGUGUAACCUUGGGUAAGUCAGCUCCCUUUGGCCGAAAUCUGUGAGCUCAGCAGCUGGAGAAAUGAGGGCUCUGUUUAUAAAGUUGAAAAUGUAUGUGUUUAAUCACCAGGCAAUUCAGCAUCCGGGAAUAUGCCUUAGAGAAACUCUCCAGCACCUAUACAAGGGAGCGUGCACUAGGAUACCCAGAGUAGCAGUGACAGUAAAAGUGAAAACAACCUGAAAUAUUCAUCACUAGGAAAACAGAUAAACAAACUGUGACACAUCAAGGGAUGCAAUGCAUGCUUUCCAGGAGUUGCAAGGUUGGACUAAAUUCAUACAUAUCGAUGUGGAUAUGUCUCAAAUAUAAAAUUGCUGAGUUUUUUGGGUUUUUUAAAAAAGUAAGUUUUAGGAAGGUAUACAACAUAUUAGAUCAUUUUAAACACAAGGUAAAACUACAUAUUUAUGUAAGUGGAAGAACACAAAUUUAGGAAAGUGGUGACUUUGGAUCAGGGACAGGCCCAGGGAACUGUGCAGGGGAACAAAUGGAAACUUCAACAUUAUCCACAAUGAUCUGUCUCUUAUUUUUUAAAAAAUACAAAGCCAAAUCAACAAUGUCAGCAUGUGUUAAUUCUGGAUGUAUCGUGUGUACACUGAUUUAAGUUUCUAAUCUGUACUUUUCUGCAUAUUUUUAAUUCUUCAACAGUUUUUAAGAAAUAAGAGAAUAAUCCAAUCUGAAUUCUUGGACUGUUGUCUGACUGGUAUCUUAAGAAAAGUAAUGACAGACCUCUGGCCUGC